GAUUCUGCCAGUAGUCAUAUGCUUGUCUCAAAGAUUAAGCCAUGCAUGUCUAAGUAUAAGCAAUUAUACCGUGAAACUGCGAAUGGCUCAUUAAAUCAGUUAUCGUUUAUUUGAUAGUACCUUACUACUUGGAUAACCGUGGUAAUUCUAGAGCUAAUACAUGCUGAAAACCCCAACUUCGGGAGGGGUGUAUUUAUUAGAUAAAAAACCAACGCCCUUCGGGGCUUCUUGGUGAUUCAUGAUAACUUCACGGAUCGCAUGGCCUUGCGCCGGCGACGGUUCAUUCAAAUUUCUGCCCUAUCAACUUUCGAUGGUAAGGUAUUGGCUUACCAUGGUUUCAACGGGUAACGGGGAAUUAGGGUUCGAUUCCGGAGAGGGAGCCUGAGAAACGGCUACCACAUCCAAGGAAGGCAGCAGGCGCGCAA
rnacentral:rRNA from 1 species